rnacentral:rRNA from 1 species
CGCGUAGGCGGCUUGGCAAGUGGAAGGUGAAAUCCCUCGGCUUAACCGAGGAACUGCCCUCCAAACUGCUUCGCUUGAGACCGGGAGAGGUGAGUGGAAUUCCCAGUGUAGCGGUGAAAUGCGUAGAUAUUGGGAGGAACACCAGUGGCGAAGGCGGCUCACUGGACCGGUACUGACGCUGAUGCGCGAAAGCGUGGGAGCAAACG